rnacentral:rRNA from 1 species
GACGAACGCUGGCGGCGCGCUUAACACAUGCAAGUCGAGCGAUUAAAUUUCGACAGAUCCCUUCGGGGUGAAGAUGAAAUGGAUUAGCGGCGGACGGGUGAGUAACACGUGAGUAACCUGCCUUUGACAUUGGGAUAGCCUCGGGAAAUUGGGAUUAAUACCAAAUGACACUAACUGAUCACAUGAUCAAUUAGUCAAAGAAAUUCGGUCAAAGAUGGACUCGCGGCUGAUUAGCUAGUUGGUGAGGUAACGGCCCACCAAGGCGACGAUCAGUAGCCGGGAUGAGAGGGUGAUCGGACACAUUGGAACUGAGACACGGUCCAAACUCCUACGGGAGGCAGCAGUGGGGAAUAUUGCAAAAUGGGGGAAAUCCUGAUGCAGCGACGCCGCGUGAGCGAAGAAGGCCUUCGGGUAGUAAAGCUAUUUUAUGAGGGAAGAUAAUGACGGUACCUAAAGAAAAAGCCCCGGCUAACUACGUG